UUUCCCUAAAGAAAGGGGCGUGGUUUCCAGUCUACAACCAACGUACUACCACUGACCAGUUCUACCGUCUCAACCCAACCUGCACUACCAUCUCAACCCUACAAUGGCCAACGUAACUCCCCCAAAGAAGAUGAAGAAACGUUCUUCUUUGAAGUUAGCAAAGAGGGCCAUGGAGUGGGAGAGAAUACUUUUCAUUCGGAAAUGGAAAAAUAUUAUCUGUGUCCCGUGGUGAUGUGAGCGGGGUUAUAUGGCUACUGGCGAUACCUCGAGAAAAAAAAAAGCGAGAUGAAGGCCGUACCUCAAAGGUGUCUUGGAAACCGGCCGAAUGAAACGAAUGAACGUCCUUUUGAAAAGGGGAAAACACAAAACAUACACUAAUUCUAUACAUUAAUUACAAACGUUCUUGAAAACAAACACUAAUUGAUUGUAUUCCUGCGUUGUUAUUGAUGCUCACUUAUCACUCCCACUCAGUAGCUUGUCACUAGCUCUCGCUUGUUGUUUUGCAAUUAUGUUGUCAAUUAUAUAA